CUCCUUAUGCACCCCAGAGACA
rnacentral:miRNA from 14 species